AUUGAACGCUGGCGGCAGGCCUAACACAUGCAAGUCGAGCGCGAAAGUUCUUCGGAAUGAGUAAAGCGGCGGACGGGUGAGUAAUACAUGGGAAUCUGUCUGGUAGUGGGGGACAACGUUUCGAAAGGAACGCUAAUACCGCAUACGCCCUACGGGGGAAAGGGGGGGAUCUUCGGACCUCUCGCUAUCAGAUGAGCCCA
rnacentral:rRNA from 1 species